rnacentral:rRNA from 1 species
AUGAUACGCGAGGAACCUUACCUGGGCUUAAAUGUAGAUUGCAUGAGUGGAAACACUUCUUCCCUUCGGGGCUAUUUACAAGGUGCUGCAUGGUUGUCGUCAGCUCGUGCCGUGAGGUGUCGGGUUAAGUCCCAUAACGAGCGCAACCCUUACCGUUAGUUGCCAUCGGGUCAAGCCGGGGACUCUAGCGGGACUGCCACCGUAAGGUGAGAGGAAGGUGGGGAUGACGUCAAAUCAGCACGGCCCUUAUGUCCAGGGCUACACACGUGUUACAAUGGCCGGUACAGAGGGCAGCUACCUGGUGACAGGAUGCUAAUCCCGAAAGCCGGUCCCAGUUCGGAUUGGAGUCUGCAACCCGACUCCAUGAAGUUGGAUUCGCUAGUAAUCGCGCAUCAGCCAUGGCGCGGUGAAUACGUUCCCGGGCCUU